rnacentral:rRNA from 1 species
GACGAACGCUGGCGGCGUGCUUAACACAUGCAAGUCGAACGGAAAGGCCCUGCUUUUGUGGGGUGCUCGAGUGGCGAACGGGUGAGUAACACGUGAGUAACCUGCCCUUGACUUUGGGAUAACUUCAGGAAACUGGGGCUAAUACCGGAUAGGAGCUCCUGCUGCAUGGUGGGGUUGGAAAGUUUCGGCGGUUGGGGAUGGACUCGCGGCUUAUCAGCUUGUUGGUGGGGUAGUGGCUUACCAAGGCUUUGACGGGUAGCCGGCCUGAGAGGGUGACCGGCCACAUUGGGACUGAGAUACGGCCCAGACUCCUACGGGAGGCAGCAGUGGGGAAUAUUGCACAGUGGGCGGAAGCCUGAUGCAGCAACGCUGCGUGCGGGAUGACGGCAUUCGGGUUGUAAACCGCUUUCGCCUGUGACGAAGCGUGAGUGACGGUAAUGGGUAAAGAAGCACCGGCUAACUACGUG